AGACUUUCACUUGUAUGUCCUUUACUUCUCUUAAUUUUCUUUUGGACGAAUUCUACUCACAAGUUGGGUAGAAUUGGCCAACAUCACUUGACUGUAUUGUUGGAGACAGAAGUGAUACACCAUUUUGUAAAAUUCAUAUUUAAUUCAUCUUUUGGAGUUAGAAUGAGUUCUUUAUAGUUAUGGAAUCCUGAGCAAUCAUAGUUUCCUAUAAAAUUUAGUUAAAGCUAUGUUUCUGUUUUAGAUUUUGGAGUAAAUCCGUUUUGAACAGCAGGUCUGUUUUAGAGACCUUGCUGUGAUUACUCUUUUCUCAACUCAUAGCUUCAUUACUUCUCGUUUCUAACCUUUAGUCCUUCUUAGGCGAGGUUUUGAAGUUUGCUCAAGCUUGGUAGCAUUAUUUGAUUGUUAGCCAUCCUUAAUACUCACUCAAGGUGAGUUCUCUCACACCGUUGUAUUGAUGAUUGUGUUUGCUAGUUAGCUCGUGUGUGAUUAUUUGAAUUUAUUAUAAAAGCAUGCUAUAUAAGUAUUGUUUUAAUUCGUACAUGUGCACUGUAUGUAACUAAUUAUGGAUAUGGGGACACCACCAAAGGAUACGGAUUUACCGGUGCGGUGGGUAGGUAAGAUCACCAACGUAAUACUCUUCGUGAGGUGCGGUGAUUAGGGCCAAAUGAUACGGGAUCUUCCCGGUGCGGUUCAAACCUACAAGUCCUUCUCGUAAUAUAGACAUUGAUUCGUUCUUUGCCUUUAUCAUUAUAAUUGGAAAAUGGAUUAGGGCUAGUAAAUAUGAAUGUUAGUACAAUGUCUGUGUUUGAAUUCACUAAGCUUCGUGCUUACGUUUUUCCCUUAUAACUUUUCAGGUGUUAAGAUUAAAGAGGCUAAGGCUUGACAUGGAGCAUCGGGACAUCGCUACUAGUUAUUUUGUUGGGACCUUAUUAUUAUUAUUACUUCCGCACUUAUUUUAUAUGAUUAUUAAGUUGAUGGAUUAUGUUAUGACUAUUUCAGUUGUUUUAAUUUAAUUUAAGAUGGGUUUUAAAAGUUUAAAAUUUUUAAAAAAAAAAAUUGGGUGUCACAAGUUGGUAUCAGAGCCACAGUUUGAGGGAACUAGGCAUUCUUGUGGAUGUUCUAGACUCAAAUUUGAGGCUCUAUAAGAGUUUAUUUUCUUUUUAAAAUAUUUUUCAAACUUUCUGAAGACUAGUAGUGAAAGAUGUCGCGGUGUACCAGUCAGCCAGCCAAGUAAGCCUUAUUUCUUAUGUUAAAUGUUUAUGUUAAAUUGUUGACUAUGAAUUGGAUUCUACUAGCCUUAAAAUAUUAGAUUACACACUUAGUUAGUGUUAACAUGUGAGAGAGUUGUAAAAUUAACGGCUAGAGCGAACUGGAAAUUUUGAAACUAGACGCGAAUGCGAAAUUGGAACUUGUGUGGAAGGUAGUAGAAGGGCCCCUACUAUUUGAAACAUCGGUGCCGGUUUCGAGUCGGGGCAAGGUUGAAAAAUUUUCGGCAAGCUGAGUGUUUUGUCUUCCUAGAAAUAUCUAGGCUGAAUUGUUUCUAAGAUUUUCCUUCUUCUGUGGAUACCAAUGGCUCUGCCUGCUCGACUUAAUCAGCUCCAAAUGGAGCAAGUUAGGGAUAUUGUCGCUGAGGAAUUCAAUAACGGUUUCAACGAACUAAUCCCGGGUGUGACCAACGACAUAAUCAACCAAUUCGGUGCUCUUCUGGAUGAGCGCCUCGCGGCUAUUCCCGGGGAAGCGUUACUGUCUCUGCCUGUUCAGGAUUCGGCAUACUACUUCGAGAAGUUCAACAAGUGUAGCUCUCCUCUUUGGAAUGGUGAAUCCGACCCAGUUGCUACUAAGCCCUGGGUGUCAGAUGUUGAGGGCGCCUUCAUAAGUGUUGGGUGUCCGGACUAGUACAAAGCAGUGAUCGCCAUGAAUCAGCUGUGAAAAAGGGGAAAGACAUAGUGGAACACCAUCACCGCUCUAUUGAACGAAGACUAAGUGAGGGCCAUGUCUUGGGCCCAAUUUGUGGAGAGGUUCGAGGCACAAUAUGUGCCUAAGGUGGAGCAGCAGCGGAUGCAGCAAGAGUUCAUGGCCUUACAGCAGACUACCGAAUCCGUUAGUGACCUGAACGCCAAGUUCUUGGAGAUGCUAUCUUUUUGCCCCUCGUUUGCUGGGAACGAGGCCUGGUUAGUCAGCCGGUACACGGCCAUCCUACGUAUCGAGAUUCGGGAAUUCGUUAGCAUGCAGGAGUUCUCGACUUUAUCUGCGAUCAUGAAUGUAGCGAGGAGGAGGGAAAUCGAGUUGCAGACCCAGUCCAAGAGGAAGGCCAAUGACACCUCUUCCAAGACAUCCAGAGAUGCCCAGAAAACGCAAAAGCAGGGUAGUAAGUCAAGGUAUGAGUAUAGGACGUCUUCAGGGCGAGAAAAAUAUGUUGAUAUGCUACAACUGCAAAAAGCCAGGGCAUCAUUGGAAGAAUUGUAGGGAUCCCCCUGCGAGUGCAGUACCUCAUAUUACUUCUGCAGUUCCCGUCUGCUAUCACUGCAACGAGACGGGACACAAGAAGCCUGAAUGCCCGAAGUUGAAGACUGGUAAAGGAGACAGGGGUACAAAUCCUGCAAUUGCAUCAUCCUCUAAGGGAACCAUUAUGGUGACACGAGGUCGUGCUCACCAGAUGACUGUGGAGGAGCCGGUGAUUACAACGACAGUGGCAGACACUUAUUUGCUAGAUUCCAAGCCCGAUGUUGUUAUGUUUGAUAGCGGUGCUACCCAUUCUUUUGUAUCUCACACGUUUAUUAAUCGUUUGGGGCGUAGUAUCGGAAAAUUGGCUCACCCAAUGGUUGUCGAUGUUGUCGACAACCGCACUAUUUAUGUCACCGAUGUCUAUCGGGGUUGCACUCUCGAGUUUUCUGGAGUUGAAUUCCCUAUUGAUCUUAUCCCUAUUGCGAUGCGAGAGCUCUGCGUUAUCGUAGGCAUGGAUUGGCUUGAUGCGUUUGAUGCGGAAAUCCACUGUCGUAAGAAGCAAGUUCGUGUUCGAAACCCUAGAGGUGGAGAACUUAUUAUUCAGGGGGACAUUCCCCGCCUGGCUAUGGCUUCUUGCUCUUCUGCUAUAGCACUAGACGACGUUCCUAUCGUUUCCGACUUCAGCGAUGUCUUUCCGGAGGAACUCCCUGGCUUGCCACCUAUUCGGCAAGUGGAGUUUCGCAUUGAUUUGGUGCCAGGUGCGACUCCGGUAGCGAAAUCUCCUUACCGCUUGGCACCACCUGAAAUGAAAGAGCUCCAAGAUCAACUUCAAGAACUAAGUGAUAAAGGGUUUAUACGGCCAAGCUGCUCGCCUUGGGGUGCUCCUAUUCUCUUUGUGAAGAAGAAAGAUGGAUCCCAGCGAAUGUGUAUUGAUUAUAGGGAGCUAAACAAGCGCACGAUAAAGAAUAGGUACCCGUUGCCACGUAUUGACGAUCUUUUCGAUCAGCUUCAGGGAGCAUCUUGGUUUUCCAAGAUUGAUUUACGUUACGGUUACCAUCAGAUGCGGGUUCGUGAAGAAGACAUUGAGAAAACAGCAUUCCGUACUCACCCUCUGACAUUGAGAAAACGGUAUUAAGGUCGAUCAAGCCAAGGUUAAUGCGGUUAAACAAUGGAAGAUUCCAAAAACACCUUCUGAAAUUCGCAGUUUCUUGGGUUUAGCCGGUUAUUACCGGAGGUUCAUUGAAAAUUUCUCUAAAAUCGCCUUACCACUCACCCGAUUGACCAAGAAAUCAAUGAAAUUCGUUUGGGGCCCGGAGCAGCAACUGGCGUUUGAUGAGUUAAGGAAACGAUUGUGUGAAGCUCCGAUUUUGGCCUUACCUGAUGGGGUUGAGGAUAUGGUGGUUUACUGUGAUGCAUCGCUUCAAGGUCUUGGUGCCGUGUUAAUGCAACGAGAUAGGGUGAUAGCCUAUGCCUCCCGACAGCUGAAACCCCACGAACGAAACUACCCCACUCAUGAUUUGGAGCUUGGGGCUGUUGUUUUCGCUCUUAAGAUUUGGAGACACUAUCUCUAUGGAGUGAAGUUUAUCAUAUACACUGACCAUAAGAGUCUAAAAUAUUUGUUCGAGCAGCGGGAUUUGAAUAUGAGGCAGAUCCGAUGGUUGGAUGUGGUAAAAGAUUAUGAUUGUGAAAUUCACUACCACCCCGGUAAAGCUAAUGUGGUAGCUGAUGCUCUCAGUCGUAAACAAUCUGCCGAACCGAUUCGAGCUAAGUGUCUCCGGAUCACGAUGGUGUCGUCUUUGUUAGAUCUAAUCCGGGACGCCCAAAAGACGGCAAUACUGGAGGAAAACAUCAGGCGUGAGAAGAUUAGGAAAGAGUUGCCUAAGAUGGAACGAGACGGGCGGGGUUUGCUGACUCGCUACGGUAGGGUUUGGGUUCCAUAUACCGGGGGAAAUCGGAAAACCCUAAUGGAUGAGUCUCAUAAGUCAAAAUUUUCUAUCCAUCCUGGUGCUACUAAAAUGUAUCGGGACCUUCAUGAGGCUUACUGGUGGCAUGGAAUGAAGAAUGAUGUGGCUCGAUUUGUGGAAGAAUGUAUGACCUGUCGAAAGGUCAAGGCGGAACACCAGAAACCGCAUGGGAAGUUGCAACCAUUGGAGAUUCCUGAAUGGAAAUGGGAGCAUCUAACCAUGGACUUCAUUACAAAACUUCCUAGAACUGCCCGAGGAUCAGAUACGAUAUGGGUGAUUGUUGAUCGUUUGACUAAGAGUGCUCACUUUCUGGCUAUAAAGGAGAGCUCAUCGGCGGAGAAAUUAGCCGAGAUCUUUGUUCGGGAGAUUGUCUCAUUACAUGGGGUGCCCGUUUCUAUCGUCUCCGAUCGAGACACCCGAUUUACCUCUCGGUUCUGGAGGAAGUUUCAAGAGGAAUUGGGCACACGAUUACAUUUUAGUACCGCCUUCCAUCCGCAGACAGACGGGCAGAGUGAGCGGACGAUUCAGACCUUGGAGGACAUGCUUAGGGCGUGUGCGAUUGAUUUUGGGGGUAGUUGGGAUGACCAUCUACAUCUAGCUGAGUUUUCUUAUAACAACAGCUAUCACUCGAGCAUUAAAAUGCCUCCGUAUGAAGCCUUGUACGGGAGGAAGUGCAGGACGCCCGUUUGUUGGGGCGAGGUUGGGCAGAGGGUACUUGGGAGUACCGAUAUCGUGCUACAGACUACGGAGAAAAUCCAAGUGAUUCGGGAUCAUUUGGUCACAGCGAGCAGUCGUCAGAAAAGUUAUGCCGACAAAAGACGCUCCAAUCUUGAGUUCCAGGUGGGAGAUUAUGUGUUGCUUAAAGUCUCCCCCUGGAAAGGUGUGAUUCGAUUUCGGAAGCGGGGAAAGCUCGGACCCCGAUUCAUUGGACCCUACAAGGUCAUAGCUCGUGUGGGGAAGGUGGCUUACCGUUUAGAGCUUCCUGACGAGCUUAGUCUAAUUCAUAAUACGUUCCACGUGUCUCAGUUACGAAAAUGCGUUGUUGAUGAGACCGCUGUGAUACCACUGGAGGACAUACAAAUUGACGAGCGUCUCAAUUAUGUUGAGAAACCAAUCGCUAUUUUAGAACGAAAGACGAAAGCUCUCCGCAACAAGACUAUAAACCUGGUUAAGGUGCAGUGGCAACAUAGGAAGGGUUCGGAAUGGACUUGGGAACCGGAAUGCGAGAUGCGGGCUCAUUAUCCGGAUCUGUUUCUAGGUGUUGACUUCGAGGACGAAGUCCGUUCUUAGUGGGGGAGAGUUGUAACGCCCCGGGUUUUCUCGGUACGUUUGGUUAUUUUAAUUUAAUUAUCCUUGUAACCUUGGGUUAAUUUAUUUAACCAAUGUCUGAUUUCUUAUGUUAUUGGACUCUUUUGAUCAUCUUGUAAACUCCUUUUAUUGAAGUCCAUGGGCUAUGGGCCUAUUUGCAAAGUCCAUCUAGUUAAUAGUACUUAAUGUGUAAAUUGAAUCAUUUGGAACACACACAAGGAAAACACUCUAAACCCUCCCUCUCUCUCAAAAAUCGUCCCUCUCUCUCUCUUUGGGAUCAAGAGCAGCCAAGGGGCUGUUUGGAGCUUAAUUCUUGUUCAUUUCCAGCCUUGAUUCGUAUUGGUAUGAACCUCCUUAUCCUUUCUUACAACUUGAUUCAUAACCUUGUUCUAGUUUUAUGAUUUCAUCUUCACCUCUUCUCCUUCUUAUUUUAUUUGUAAUUGUAUGUUAUACAUCAUCUCAAGAUCCUAUCUUCACCCCAUAUAUGGUGGAUGAUGGAUCUAGGGGAUUACAUGUGGCAAAAGAUCAUGGAAACCCUAAAAGGGAGAAUGAUGAUUUUAUGUGCUUAUGUUUAUUUUCAUGUUGAUUAUUAUUACAUCCUUGUGGCUAAAUGAAAUCCUAAUGAUCCCUAACCCUUUUUAGUACCACCAUUAUCAUGGGGACUGAAUUGGGAUGAUGAACACAUCUUAAAAUGUGUUUCAAAAGGAGAAGGAUGGAUAAGCCAAAAAGGAAUCACGGGUGGCUACGAUUCUGUUUUCCAUCAGAUCUGUAGUCAUUUUGUAAAAAUCAUAUCUGGAGCUCUAGAACUCAAACGGACCCCAAACCAGUUCCAAAUGUUCAAAAAUUGAGUUGGAUAACUUUCUUAAGAUGGCCAACCUCACUGAUAAGGGAUUUAUCUCUGUGAAAGAAUGGCAUCUUUGCUAUUAGGUCUGAUCCGGGUCUGUUCUGAUAUGUCAUUUUGUUUUCAUCAUUUCUAAGGCUUGGAAAAGGAUCCAGAGUGAUUCCAAGUUUCUAUAUGUUCCUUAUAUUAUGAAUUUAAGAUCUGGAGAAUAUGGGGUGUUAUUUCCAAUUAUAAAUUGGUUAGAAUGGAUCCACACUCCAGGUCAGUGGGCAGUCACCAGCUUUUGCUAGUGCUGUGAUUGUCCACAAUGUGAAUUUUAUAUCUGGAGUUUGAGAGAUGCUUUUCAUUCAAUUCCAACUCUGAGACUUUCACUUGUAUGUCCUUUACUUCUCUUAAUUUUCUUUUGGACGAAUUCUACUCACAAGUUGGGUAGAAUUGGCCAACAUCACUUGACUGUAUUGUUGGAGACAGAAGUGAUACACCAUUUUGUAAAAUUCAUAUUUAAUUCAUCUUUUGGAGUUAGAAUGAGUUCUUUAUAGUUGUGGAAUCCUGAGCAAUCAUAGUUUCCUAUAAAAUUUAGUUAAAACUAUGUUUCUGUUUUAGAUUUUGGAGUAAAUCCGUUUUGAACAGCAGGUCUGUUUUAGAGACCUUGCUGUGAUUACUCUUUUCUCAACUCAUAGCUUCGUUACUUCUCCUUUCUAACCUUUAGUCCUUCUUAGGUGAGGUUUUGAAGUUUGCUCAAGCUUGGUAGCAUUAUUUGAUUGUUAGCCAUCCUUAAUACUCACUCAAGGUGAGUUCUCUCACACCGUUGUAUUGAUGAUUGUGUUUGCUAGUUAGCUCGUGUGUGAUUAUUUGAAUUUAUUAUAAAAGCAUGCUAUAUAAGUAUUGUUUUAAUUCGUACAUGUGCACUGUAUGUAACUAAUUAUGGAUAUGGGGACACCACCAAAGGAUACGGAUUUACCGGUGCGGUGGGUAGGUAAGAUCACCAACGUAAUACUCUUCGUGAGGUGCGGUGAUUAGGGCCAAAUGAUACGGGAUCUUCCCGGUGCGGUUCAAACCUACAAGUCCUUCUCGUAAUAUAGACAUUGAUUCGUUCUUUGCCUUUAUCAUUAUAAUUGGAAAAUGGAUUAGGGCUAGUAAAUAUGAAUGUUAGUACAAUGUCUGUGUUUGAAUUCACUAAGCUUCGUGCUUACGUUUUUCACUUAUAACUUUUCAGGUGUUAAAAUUAAAGAGGCUAAGGCUUGACAUGGAGCAUCGGGACAUCGCUACUAGUCAUUUUGUUGGGACCUUAUU
rnacentral:lncRNA from 1 species